rnacentral:rRNA from 1 species
UACGUAGGGGGCGAGCGUUGUCCGGAUUUACUGGGCGUAAAGAGCGCGUAGGCGGAAAUUUAAGCGUGGCCUGAAAGCCCCCGGCUCAACCGGGGAGUGCGGCUGCGAACUGGGUUUCUUGAGGACGAUAGAGGAGAGUGGAAUUCCUGGUGUAGCGGUGAAAUGCGUAGAUAUCAGGAGGAACACCCGAGGCGAAGGCGGCUCUCUGGGUCGUACCUGACGCUGAGGCGCGAAGGUCAGGGGAGCAAACGGG